UCUUCUCCCCGUCAUUCUCACAAAUCUCCCUAGAUUUUCCCUCCCGAUUUCUCUUCCCUCUCAUCUCUCCACCGUGAGCCACCUUCCUUCCACCGAGAGCCUCCCCGGCCAGCCAAUCUCUCUCCUCCACACUAUUUCUAAGAAUGUGCUGCUUCCUGAGUUUUGGUCUACAACACCAUUUGAUCAGGAUUUUUAUAUUCUACCUGCAGCUCAAAGAAACAUAUGCCUCCACAAUAAUAAUUUCUGUGAUCACACCUCAAAAGUCCGUGCACGAGCCUUGGACAACUGGAACGUAUGGUGAAAAUUUGGAGCGUUUGGUCAGUUGACUACUGGUGGAAUCACUGAUGCAGGUUUUGUGCUUGGUACUAGAAAGCUUUUGCUCAAGUUAUUGAGCUGCCAACUGAUAUCAUAAUUCACAAGUCAUUAGUAUGUUUGUUUUCCUCAUCAAUUCGUUUGCAGGUCCCCCCCGACUCUGAGAUUCGUAUUGGAUGGUGCAAUGCCUGAUUACGUGCUUGCGAAAGACUUGAUUCUGCAAAUUAUUGGUGAAAUAUCUGUGGCUGGUGCAAGAUACAAAUCCGUGAAAUUUGUUGGCUCUACUGUUAUAAGCUUGACUAUGGAGGAUAGAUUACAGCAUAACAUUGUGCAACAUGGUUAUUGAAGCUGGGGAAAGAACGGCAUCGUCCCUGCUGAUGCAACAACCUUCAAGUAUCUCCAGGUAGUGUGGCAUAUUUUUUUCUCAACUGCAUUUUUUUCAGUCAUGACCACAGAGCCUUGAAGUUGGGCCUGGCUCGUGAUAGCUGAUGCCUUCCUCCUCAUCAUGUACGUCUGGCUGGCAUUACGAGACAUUGAAGCGAUACGGAUUGAGAUGCAUAGCAAGGUUUUGCUGGCUUGGAUUCUAGGUCUUGACCCAAGCUUAGUGCUUGUAUAUUCAAAUUCAUAAAUUUUCAGCAUUUCAAUUCAAUUCACUGUAAAACAAUUUAAUUUAAUUUAAUAUAAUGCAAUUCCAGUUUUGUUUA